rnacentral:rRNA from 1 species
GAUGAACGCUGGCGGCGUGCUUAACACAUGCAAGUCGAACGAAGCACUUAAGUUUGAUUCUUCGGAUGAAGACUUUUGUGACUGAGUGGCGGACGGGUGAGUAACGCGUGGGUAACCUGCCUCAUACAGGGGGAUAACAGUUAGAAAUGACUGCUAAUACCGCAUAAGACCACAGCGCCGCAUGGUGCAGGGGUAAAAACUCCGGUGGUAUGAGAUGGACCCGCGUCUGAUUAGCUAGUUGGUGGGAUAACGGCCUACCAGGGCGACGAUCAGUAGCCGACCUGAGAGGGUGACCGGCCACAUUGGGACUGAGGCACGGCCCAAACUCCUACGGGAGGCAGCAGUGGGGAAUAUUGCACAAUGGGGGAAACCCUGAUGCAGCGACGCCGCGUGAAGGAUGAAGUAUUUCGGUAUGUAAACUUCUAUCAGCAGGGAAGAAAAUGACGGUACCUGACUAAGAAGCCCCGGCUAACUACGUGCCAGCCGCCGCGGUAA